rnacentral:rRNA from 1 species
GACGAAGGUGGCGAGCGUUGUUCGGAAUCACUGGGCAUAAAGCGCACGUAGGCGGCGGCGUAAGUUGGAUGUGAAAUCCCCCGGCCCAACCGGGGAACUGCGUCCAGUACUGCGUUGCUUGAGGAUCCAAGGGGUGCAUGGAAUUCCCGGUGGAGCGGUGAAAUGCGUUGAUAUCCGGAGGAAUACCAAAGGCGAAGGCAGUGUCCUGGCUGGCAUCUGACGCUGAGGCGCGAAAGCUAGGGGAGCGAACAGG